CUCAGAGUCAGCAGAGGCUGGAGAGAUCUGUGACUGAUGAGUUCUGCUGCCCAGCACACAGGAACAGGGUCCAGGCAAUGCCCUCCAGCACUGGCUGUGCUCUGCCACUUGCUGUGAUGUCUUUCUGAUAGCAGAUGCUCCUGGAGUCAGAGCUGGAUAUCAACAUUUCCCAUGAAGAGGGUUCUCCUAUAGCAUUACUCUGGUGCACAGGGACCACAGAAUAAGGCUGGAGAGAAGCACCCGGAGUGAUGCCAAUUUCCUGCUCGGUUUCCCAGCCAGGAACACCAGGAGGAUGUCUUGAGGAAGCUGCUGACACCUCUUCCCUCCCCAGCUCUCUCACUGUCCCCCAUGGGGUCACUGGCAACGCAGACCAGGCUGGUCCUGCUCUGGCUCUGAACAGGCAGUUUCUCCCCCACACAUCUAUUAUACAAACUCAUGCAGCUGCUUGGCAAGGAGGGGCUGUGCACUCCUGGAAGCAGAAACACCAGAGCUGCUGGGAGACAAGGCAGAGAGAGGAGGCAAAAGGCUGAGAUGAGGAUGAAGCACCAGAGACAGCCCCAUCCUGGCAUGCCAGUAGGCAACUAAAUAAUUGAAAUAUUUCCUGUCAUGUUGCCAUGUUUUCAUCGUGUCCCUUACGAAAAAACACUGCACAUUAUGAUGCUAUAAAUCCUUAUUAUCUGUAUAUACACAAGCAGGAGCUCCCCAUUACCCAAAAGAAGGGUGAAUCCCAUGAGGCACAUUAAUGGCCUUGAAAACUCCUCCUGUUAUCUUAAACCUUGCUUAUUCGACCUUAUUUAGUACAUGAUGGUGGGAUAAUUGAAGCUGUCCCUGUGUUUUUUUACAAAGUGCAAUAACUACAUUAGCAUCUGCAGCUCCAUUUCCUUAUUGCACAGAUAUUGAUGCCUCCUGGAAAGCCUUGUGAAAUCCUCUGCUUGGGGACAGUUCCACUGCUCUGCAUUUUCGGGGCACGUUAGCUGGGGGUUCCUGUUUGUAGCAUUUUUAGCAGGAGAGCAGGAUUGCUGCUUCUCACAAACCCAUCUGCUCCUGCUGCUCAUUCACAACCUGGAGCCACAGACUCCUGUCAUCUCCCUGUCACUUUGGAAAAUAAUAACUGUGGGAGGACAAUAUAAUGGAUUGUUCACUGGCAUAUUCCUAGAUAUUAAAGGUGCAAUUUGGGGGUUGGUUCCAGAAAAAUGGAAAAUUAUUUUAUAUGGGUUUAACAUAAUUAUGAGCAAAUUAGGCCUGAUCCUCAUCUCACUUGGGUCUACAUUCACUCACAGCUCGUGGAGCUGGCUGGUAUUUUUAGAAUGUGAAGUCUUCUGUAACAUUUUUUACAACAGAGGUAAUUUGGAGAGAAAAGUUCUGUAAUUUUCCUGGGCUUUUU